AGGCAGGUGGUGGCUAUCCCCUCUUCCCCAUAAGGAAGAUAACACGAACAUGCAGGUUGAUGCAGGGAGAGCAGAAUUAUGGGAUGUUACAUCUUACAGAAAUAUCAGUUAUGUUUCUUUAAUUGUCAGUGACAAAAAGAUAUUUUUUCUACAAAUAAAAAAGGCCAUAUUUGGAAUAAUAUGGAGCAUCUUACAAAAGGAAAAUUGUACCUGUACCUAAUAAGCCAUAGUAGCUCUGGGAACUGAAUCUCGGGCACCAGGAACAGUCUCGCAUGUCAUUGUAAUCUGGAUUCAUGAGCUCUGACUUUCCACAGUCUUUGAGUCACUGAGCACUAGGAUCAACUUUCACAGAGGAUCCAGAUAAUCAGCCAGCUUAAGUCACACUCCUACAGCUUGGCUAGGGUAGGGAUUCCUCACCAACAGUCCCAUAAGAUCUUAUCCAGUCAGGAGGGGCUGGCCCAAUCUGAAGUGCAGCCGAGACCGGGAGCCACAGACCUGGAACCUGUGUACUCAAAGAGUUGUCCACAUGCCAGCAGCACUGGCCCUUCCAGGAGCUGUUAGAAAUGUAGAACCUCAGAGCCUACAUUGAAGAUAUUGAAUCGGAGUCUGCACAUCGCUUCUGAGAAGCCAUGAGCUAAGCUGAUGCCAUUCAGCUGGGUAGCAUCGCAGUCACUGUGCAACUUUUAAACAUACAGCUGCCCAGGCCCACUGCAGACCUGCUAAAUUCAAGCUCCUUGUAGUGGGGCCAGGGCCCUGGGACUUCAUACAAAACUCUGCAAGUCAUCACUGAUGAGAAAACCAAGACUCGAUGAGAGUCUCCUGAGCUCAGAGGAAGAAGCUGCAUAACCAGCACACUUCCAGAGAGGACCGAGGAAGAGAGCGUUGCUUCAGCCAGGGUCUGAUUAGUCAUGCCUGGCAGGCUCUGCUGAGCUGGGUGCUCAUGGGUUUUGCUUGCUGAGCUGAAUUAAUAUAUUAGUGGAUUUCA
rnacentral:lncRNA from 1 species